AUUGAACGCUGGCGGCAGGCCUAACACAUGCAAGUCGAGCGGAUGAAGGGAGCUUGCUCCUGGAUUCAGCGGCGGACGGGUGAGUAAUGCCUAGGAAUCUGCCUGGUAGUGGGGGAUAACGUCCGGAAACGGGCGCUAAUACCGCAUACGUCCUGAGGGAGAAAGUGGGGGAUCUUCGGACCUCACGCUAUCAGAUGAGCCUAGGCCGGAUUAGCUAGUUGGUGGGGUAAAGGCCUACCAAGGCGACGAUCCGUAACUGGGCUGAGAGGAUGAGCAGUCACACUGGAACUGAGACACGGUCCAGACUCCUACGGGAGGCAGCAGUGGGGAAUAUUGGACGAUGGGCGAAAGCCUGAUCCAGCCAUGCCGCGUGUGUGAAGAAGGUCUUCGGGUUGUAAAGCACUUUAAGUUGGGAGAAAGGGCAGUAAGUUAAUACCUUGCUGUUUGGACGUUCCAACAGAAUAAGCACCGGCUAACUUCGUG
rnacentral:rRNA from 1 species